GAUGAACGCUGGCGGCGUGCCUCAAACAUGCAAGUCGAGCGGGGCUAUGUAAUAUCGCAAGGUAGAACAUAGCCUAGCGGCGAACGGGUGAGUAACACGUGGGUAACCUGCCUGGAAGACAGGGAUAACGAUUCGAAAGGGUCGCUAAUACCUGAUAAUAUCCUUUCAUCGCAUGGUGAUAGGAAGAAAGGGGAAACCCGCUUUCAGAUGGGCCCGCGUCCCAUCAGCUAGUUGGUAAGGUAAAGGCUUACCAAGGCGACGACGGGUAGCCGGUCUGAGAGGAUGUACGGCCACACUGGGACUGAGAUACGGCCCAGACUCCUACGGGAGGCAGCAGUUGGGAAUCUUAGGCAAUGGACGAAAGUCUGACCUAGCGACGCCGCGUGAGGGAAGAAGGCCUUCGGUUGUAAACCUCUGUCAUGGGGAAGAAGUAAGUGACGGUACCCCAAGAGGAAGCCCCUGCUAACUACGUGCCAGCAGCCGCGGUAAGGAGUAGUACA
rnacentral:rRNA from 1 species